rnacentral:rRNA from 1 species
GACAGAGGGUGCAAACGUUGCUCGGAAUUACUGGGCGUAAAGCGCGUGUAGGCGGGUCGGAAAGUCGGGCGUGAAAGCCCCAGGCUCAACCUGGGAACUGCACUCGAAACUUCCGGUCUAGAGUGGUGGAGAGGGAAGUGGAAUUCCUGGUGUAGAGGUGAGAUUCGUAGAUAUCAGGAGGAACACCAGUGGCGAAGGCGGCUUCCUGGACACCAACUGACGCUGAGACGCGAAAGCGUGGGGAGCAAACAGG